UACAGAGGGGGCAAGCGUUGUUCGGAAUUACUGGGCGUAAAGGGCGCGUAGGCGGCCUGCUAAGUCGAACGUGAAAUCCCCGGGCUCAACCCGGGAACUGCGUCCGAUACUGGUGGGCUUGAAUUCGGGAGAGGGAUGUGGAAUUCCAGGUGUAGCGGUGAAAUGCGUAGAUAUCUGGAGGAACACCGGUGGCGAAGGCGGCAUCCUGGACCGAGAUUGACGCUGAGGCGCGAAAGCUAGGGGAGCAAACGGG
rnacentral:rRNA from 1 species